rnacentral:misc_RNA from 1 species
UGAUGUGUAUAGUUUUGGGGUGAUUUUGUUAGAGAUAUUGACAGGGAAAAUGCCAAGUGGGGAGGGAGAAACAAGUUUAGUGAGAUGGGUUCAGAGAGUUAGGCGAGAAGAGUGGACUUGGGAGGUGUUUGAUUUUGAGUUGUAUAGUUGUAAGGAGAUGGAAGAAGAGAUGGUGGCGCUUAUGCAAGUAGCUUUACUAUGCUUAGCUCCAUUACCCAGAGAUCGUCCAAAGAUGAGUAUGGUUCUUAGGAUGAUUGAAGAUAUUAGGACUAAGGGUGCAAGAGAAGGUGGCACCCCAAAUUCCAUUCUUAAUGAUCUCUCUUCCGAGUCAUCUCCUCCUCUAUCAGAAAACACCAAUAACAUCAGUAGCAGUUGACUAAAAAAUGGAACAUGGUCUUGGAGAGCAAUAUUGUUCUUGGAAUAUCUAAAUCUGUUCACAAUCACACUAUGGAUGUAGUCGUGGGACGCAGGCUGCUGCUGAUCAUUUGUUGUAGAGGCAGGAGAUUGGUUGCAGCAGCACCACCACCCAGCAACGAAAAUCUAACCUACUGCCGUAGAAAGGUUGAUAUAUUUAUUUGCUUGGUUGUCUUUAGACAGGAUUUAGGUUUAAUAUUUAUCAUUAGUUUCAUAACCUAAAAUGUUGAUAAAUUGCCAAUGAUCAGAAAUUAAAAAGCUUCUGAUUUGGCCCCAUCUGAACUGAAUCAUUGUUGUUUUGGCAACAUACGUUCUAUUAACUGCCCAAAAACAAAGAUCAAUUGAAUGAGAUAUCUAUGAAGAUGAAGACAAGAACAAAAAUGGAGUCCACAUGAUCACAUGGUUAUUCAAGGGGAGCUAGUUUCUCCAACCAGGUAAUCUAAAUAGGCUGGCAUAGGGGUCCAAUGCCACCCAAGGUGCCCUUGAAUUGAGGGGGGUUGUCCAUUAAAAUCCUUCACAUGGUUAGCAUUUGUUUGGCAGCUCCUCCUAAAGAUUCAAGGUCUAUGGAAAUUGUUUCAGCAUAAAUGCUUGUAUCAACAAUUCUGCAACCAUUGAAUGCGACCUAAUGUCCAAUAUUUUCUUAAAUUCCUCUUUACUCUUCACCAACCAAUCUUUCAAAUAAUCCUCCAAUAACUAAUUCUGAUAAUAAUAAUAAUAAUCUAGAAAACCAUCAAUCAAUUGUAUCAAAACAAUCAUUUGCUUUAUUUGGGGUAAUUCGGAUACUAUAAAAAAAUUUCUCUUGUAGAAUGGCAUGAAGUGCAUCAACCCAAACCAAGGGCGAUGGAGAUUAGGGUUUCGAGUCAUACGAACUACUAAACGUGCAUUUUUUGUAAAGCUUGGUUGAGGGUUGAUUGAGGACAUGCAUGUAUGUUGCUCUAAUUAUAAGCUUGUCCUUGUUUUUCUUCCUGAAGAUAUGUUGUUGGCAAUGCAUAGCUGCAUUAAUCCUGUUUUUCUUCCUGAAGAUAUGUUGUUGGCAAUGCAUAGCUGCAUUAAUCCCUCCUCCCUCUGAUGACAUUGGUUCUGAUAGCAUUUAAUGAUAUGGUCCCAAGACUCUGUUUUCUCUUAAAUCUGCUUAUGCUUCAUUAGUAUCUGAUGAUUGGAAAAUGAGUAAUCCCUUGUGGAAACUGAUCUGGAGUUGACAGCGUUUGCAGAGAAUUCGUUUGUUUGUUUGGCUUGUUAUUCGUGCAUGACAGGUGGCUUAUUAAUUGUGAAAGAGUAAGGUGGUACUUGGCUGUCUCUUAUUUAUUCUAGUUGAUGCCAUACUAUUUAUGCUUAGUAUUUAAUUGACUAAUUUAACAAUUAUUUUUAUUUAAAAUUAUUAUAUAAAUAAUUAAUUAUUAAUUAUUAAUAAUUCAGUUAAAAAAAUUUUAGUAUUAACUAAAAAAAAAUAAUAUAUUUAAAUUACAAUUUUGCAUCAUCUAAUUAAAAUUUUGAUUGUAAAAGGUAAUGAAAAACAAUUAGGUUCCAUAGAUUAGAAUUAAUCCAAUUUGGCUUUAUUUUUUAAGGAAUAUAUAAAAUGGUGCUUGCGUUCAAGUUCUAAUUAAGAUUUGUUUCCUUAAUAAUUACGAAUGUAUAACAGCAUUUUUUUUUCCAUAAUGCUAAUGCUAUUUUGUUUUUUAAUGGUUGAUUACAUGGAAUAUCCAUGCUCUGAUGGGGGAAUUUGAUUCGUUCUGCUUCAGAUCCUAAUGGUAAGACGUCGUUUCUUGUUUUUGAACCUUUCUAUAUGCUUCCUUGUGAUACAAUAAAAUCAAUGCAAAAAUUAAUAAUUUACAAUUUCUACGUUGAUUUUGACCAUUAAACUAGAAAAAUAAAAGAACAGAAAAUUCUUUUAUUUGACAAAUUCCAAUGUUUUGAAGCUGACCAUAUGGAUUGAAUCUGCAUAAACGUGUAGGUCCAUUGUAUUACAAGGGCUGG